UACGGGGGGGGCAAGCGUUGUUCGGAAUUACUGGGCGUAAAGGGCUCGUAGGUGGCCAACUAAGUCAGACGUGAAAUCCCUCGGCUUAACCGGGGAACUGCGUCUGAUACUGGAUGGCUUGAGUUCGGGAGAGGGAUGUGGAAUUCCAGGUGUAGCGGUGAAAUGCGUAGAUAUCUGGAGGAACACCGGUGGCGAAGGCGACAUCCUGGACCGGUAUUGACGCUGAGGCGCGAAAGCCAGGGGAGCAAACGGG
rnacentral:rRNA from 1 species